UGAAUCCAGCUCGCAAAUGAUUGGGUCCAUUAGGGUUUUGACUAGAGAAUAUUUAACCUGAAUGUCAUACAAUACUCAAAUAGUCGAGAAAAUGCUAAUGGACCCACGUUUCGGCAGACUAGAGAUCGUUGAAAAACGGUCAUAACGGCUAUGUUGUUGUACCCGCGCAAAGCACGGCCCAUGUUUACGUUGUGUUGUUGGUUCCAGAAUGUACUAUGGAAGGAGAAAAAAAAAUAAUAAUAAACGAACGCAUAAAGAAACCGGAGCUACUCCACACAAGCCAGCCGCCAAAAAGCCUGUGAGGAACAGUUUAGGAGUUGCGAGAAGCAGACGGUCUAUCGAUCUAAGCGGCAGCCAGCCAUCAGCAGUUGAGUAUCCACAGAGGCGUUGUAAUUCGCCAACCACUCUUCGUCGGCGAUUCCCUGCUAGCAGAGGCCUGUUUUUUCUGUAUUUCGCUGGGCUGGAGUUCGCAGCGAAAUACAGAGAAAAUGGGCCUCUGCUGGCAGGAACGUCGGCGAUCGGCUCGUCUUGAUACGGGAGAAACUCGUUUGCCGCUUCGUUUAUAGAUGUUGCCGUUCCUUGUAAAGAUUCUAUACAUUCCGGUUCGUUCUCUACGUCGGUCAACUCAUUUCCGAUAAUUCUGAAGACUUCGUAGAGCCAUUGUAACGUUUUCACUCGCGGUUCCUAGACGCCUUUGAGAUUGCUGACUGCAAGACUGCGACGCUAAAAGCGCAUAAAUAAUGCAACAGGAUUUUCGCGCCAUGGGCCCGCAAUGCAUUUUGCCGGUCAGCGACGGACGUGUUUUACGGUCGCGUGUAUAUCGCAUGUGUUUGAAAAGCUGCAAAAUAUUCGGGAUUGGAGGAAUUCGAAUUUUUUUUUCGGGAAAGUAAGCCUCAGAUAAUAUACAUUUUGCCCAAAACGGUCUUCCCUUUCCCUGGAGAUGCACUUUAAAUACAUGUGAAAUACAUCUAUAAAAAGCCAGGAGCAGAUCCAGCAGUACCAAUAAGAGAUGUCCUAAGCAAAGAUUUUAAGAAAAGAGGGAGCGGAGGUCAUUGCUCUUUUGAGCCUGAUUGGUCCACCUCUAGAAACUCCCAUAGAAGUAGCAAACAUCAGACAGGGUAUAUAGAUGUAUACUGACUGGUUGUUGUCUUGCUAUUCCACCAGCUGCUGUAGGCGGGUUCUUCUGCAAGAGUUGCUAAAGGGAGAUAACAGAAGCAUGUUUAGUAUCAAGGGUACAACAUUGGAACCAUGCAAUGAUCAAAUGCUAAUUAAAGGGGAACAGUAAGCCAUAACUUUAUUAUUAAUUUCACUCAAUAUUGGAAGAAAAUUAUGUGAAGAAAUAUUGAAACAACC